UGGGGAAUUUUGGACAAUGGGCGAAAGCCUGAUCCAGCAAUGCCGCGUGUGUGAAGAAGGCCUUCGGGUUGUAAAGCACUUUUGUCCGGAAAGAAAUCCUUGGCUCUAAUACAGUCGGGGGAUGACGGUACCGGAAGAAUAAGCACCGGCUAACUACGUGCCAGCAGCCGCGGUAAUACGUAGGGUGCAAGCGUUAAUCGGAAUUACUGGGCGUAAAGCGUGCGCAGGCGGUUUGCUAAGACCGAUGUGAAAUCCCCGGGCUCAACCUGGGAACUGCAUUGGUGACUGGCAGGCUAGAGUAUGGCAGAGGGGGGUAGAAUUCCACGUGUAGCAGUGAAAUGCGUAGAGAUGUGGAGGAAUACCGAUGGCGAAGGCAGCCCCCUGGGCCAAUACUGACGCUCAUGCACGAAAGCGUGGGGAGCAAACAGGAUUAGAUACCCUGGUAGUCCACGCCCUAAAACGAUGUCAACUAGUUGUUGGGGAUUCAUUUCCUUAGUAACGUAGCUAACGCGUGAAGUUGACCGCCUGGGGAGUACGGUCGCAAGAUUAAAACUCAAAGGAAUUGACGGG
rnacentral:rRNA from 1 species